rnacentral:rRNA from 1 species
GACGAACGCUGGCGGCGUGCUUAACACAUGCAAGUCGAACGGAAAGGCCCUGCUUGCAGGGUACUCGAGUGGCGAACGGGUGAGUAACACGUGGGUGAUCUGCCCUGCACUUCGGGAUAAGCCUGGGAAACUGGGUCUAAUACCGGAUAGGAGCCAUUUUUAGUGUGAUGGUUGGAAAGUUUUUUCGGUGUAGGAUGAGCUCGCGGCCUAUCAGCUUGUUGGUGGGGUAAUGGCCUACCAAGGCGGCGACGGGUAGCCGGCCUGAGAGGGUGGACGGCCACAUUGGGACUGGGAUACGGCCCAGACUCCUACGGGAGGCAGCAGUGGGGAAUAUUGCACAAUGGGCGCAAGCCUGAUGCAGCGAGGCCGCGUGGGGGAUGACGGCCUUCGGGUUGUAAACUCCUUUCGCUAGGGACGAAGCUUUUUGUGACGGUACCUAGAUAAGAAGCACCGGCUAACUACGUG